AGGGUUCGAUUCUGGCUCAGGAUGAACGCUGGCGGCGUGCUUAACACAUGCAAGUCGAACGAGCCUUGUCGGACGGAUCCCUUCGGGGUGAAGACUGGCGCUGGCGAGUGGCGGACGGGUGAGUAACGCGUGGGGAACCUGCCUCAUUCCGGGGGAUACCAGUCGGAAACGGCUGUUAAUACCGCAUAAGCGCACGGUGUGGCAUCACACAGUGUGAAAAACUCCGGUGGAAUGAGAUGGCCCCGCGUCUGAUUAGGCAGUUGGCGGGUAACGGCCCACCAAACCGACGAUCAGUAGCCGACCUGAGAGGGUGACCGGCCACAUUGGGACUGAGACACGGCCCAGACUCCUACGGGAGGCAGCAGUGGGGAAUAUUGCACAAUGGGCGCAAGCCUGAUGCAGCGAACCGCCGCGUGAGCGAUGAAGUAUUUCGGUAUGUAAAGCUCUAUCAGCAGGGAAGAUAAUGACGGUACCUGACUAAGAAGCUCCGGCUAAAUACGUGCCAGCCGCCGC
rnacentral:rRNA from 1 species